rnacentral:rRNA from 1 species
UACAGAGGUCUCGAGCGUUAGGCGGAAUCACUGGGCGUAAAGGGUGCGUAGGCGGUUCGUUAAGUCUGUUGUGAAAUCCCCGGGCUCAACCUGGGAAUGGCAAUGGAUACUGGCGAGCUAGAGUGUGAUAGAGGAUGGUGGAAUUCCCGGUGUAGCGGUGAAAUGCGUAGAGAUCGGGAGGAACAUCAGUGGCGAAGGCGGCCAUCUGGAUCAACACUGACGCUGAAGCACGAAAGCGUGGGGAGCAAACAGG